rnacentral:rRNA from 1 species
GAGUUUGAUCCUGGCUCAGGACGAACGCUGGCGGUAUGCUUAACACAUGCAAGUCGAACGAGAAGGAAGAGCUUGCUCUUCCUGAAAGUGGGGAACGGGUGAGUAACGCGUGGGUAACCUACCCUUUGGAAAGGAAUAGCCUCGGGAAACUGGGAGUAAUGCCUUAUAAGAUACGUUUGUCGCAUGGCAUUUGUAUUAAACGCUCCGGCGCCAUAGGAUGGACCCGCGUCCCAUUAGCUAGUUGGUGAGAUAACAGCUCACCAAGGCCACGAUGGGUAACCGGUCUGAGAGGGCGAACGGUCACACUGGAACUGAGACACGGUCCAGACUCCUACGGGAGGCAGCAGUGGGGAAUAUUGCGCAAUGGGGGCAACCCUGACGCAGCAAUACCGCGUGAGUGAAGAAGGUUUUCGGAUCGUAAAGCUCUGUUAUUGGGGAAGAAAAAAAGACGGUACCCAAGAAGAAAGUUCCGGCUAACUACGUGCCAGCAGCCGCGGUAAUAUGUAGGGAACAAGCGUUGUCCGGAUUUACUGGGCGUAAAGGGCACGCAGGCGGUUUUUUAAGUCAGAUGUGAAAGGCCACAGCUCAACUGUGGACAUGCAUUUGAAACUGAAAGACUUGAGUAUUGGAGAGGCAAGUGGAAUUCCUAGUGUAGCGGUGAAAUGCGUAGAUAUUAGGAGGAACACCGGUGGCGAAGGCGGCUUGCUGGA